rnacentral:tRNA from 1 species
GGGAAGGUGGCUCAAUGGUAGAGCGCUUGCCUUGCGUGCAUGAGGCCCUGGGCUUGCCUU